ACGAACGCUGGCGGCGUGCUUAGCACAUGCAAGUCGAACGGUGAACCUUCUUCGGAGGGGGAUCAGUGGCGAACGGGUGAGUAACACGUGAGCAACCUGCCCCUGGCUCUGGCAUAACCCCGGGAAACCGGGGCUAAUUCCGGAUAUUAACCUGGUUGGCAUCUUCCGGGUUGGAAAGUUUUUCGGCUAGGGAUGGGCUCGCGGCCUAUCAGCUUGUUGGUGGGGUAGUGGCCUACCAAGGCGACGACGGGUAGCCGGCCUGAGAGGGCGACCGGCCACACUGGGACUGAGACACGGCCCAGACUCCUACGGGAGGCAGCAGUGGGGAAUAUUGCGCAAUGGGCGAAAGCCUGACGCAGCGACGCCGCGUGAGGGAUGAAGGCCUUCGGGUUGUAAACCUCUUUAAGCAGGGAAGAAGCGCAAGUGACGGUACCUGCAGAAGAAGCACCGGCUAACUACGU
rnacentral:rRNA from 1 species